AGCGUACACGGUGGAUGCCCUGGCAGUCAGAGGCGAUGAAGGACGUGCUAAUCUGCGAUAAGCGCCGGUAAGGUGAUAUGAACCGUUAUAACCGGCGAUUUCCGAAUGGGGAAACCCAGUGUGAUUCGUCACACUAUCAUUAACUGAAUCCAUAGGUUAAUGAGGCGAACCGGGGGAACUGAAACAUCUAAGUACCCCGAGGAAAAGAAAUCAACCGAGAUUCCCCCAGUAGCGGCGAGCGAACGGGGAGGAGCCCAGAGCCUGAAUCAGCAUGUGUGUUAGUGGAAGCGUCUGGAAAGGCGCGCGAUACAGGGUGACAGCCCCGUACACAAAAGCGCAUGUGCUGUGAGCUCGAUGAGUAGGGCGGGACACGUGGUAUCCUGUCUGAAUAUGGGGGGACCAUCCUCCAAGGCUAAAUACUCCUGACUGACCGAUAGUGAACCAGUACCGUGAGGGAAAGGCGAAAAGAACCCCGGCGAGGGGAGUGAAAAAGAACCUGAAACCGUGUACGUACAAGCAGUGGGAGCCCCACCACUAAGCCAGUGGUGAACUCCACAUACGCAUCCUUUGCUGAGGAUACGGUUAACGGAGCGAAAGCGACGUUCAACCGCAAAAGAAGCAGAGGGGGCUUAGUGGUGGGGUGACUGCGUACCUUUUGUAUAAUGGGUCAGCGACUUAUAUUCUGUAGCAAGGUUAACCGAAUAGGGGAGCCGGAGGGAAACCGAGUCUUAAUUGGGCGUUAAGUUGCAGGGUAUAGACCCGAAACCCGGUGAUCUAGCCAUGGGCAGGUUGAAGGUUGGGUAACACUAACUGGAGGACCGAACCGACUAAUGUUGAAAAAUUAGCGGAUGACCUGUGGCUGGGGGUGAAAGGCCAAUCAAACCGGGAGAUAGCUGGUUCUCCCCGAAAGCUAUUUAGGUAGCGCCUCGUGAAUUCAUCUCCGGGGGUAGAGCACUGUUUCGGCUAGGGGGCCAUCCCGGCUUACCAACCCGAUGCAAACUGCGAAUACCGGAGAAUGUUAUCACGGGAGACACACGGCGGGUGCUAACGUCCGUCGUGAAGAGGGAAACAACCCAGACCGCCAGCUAAGGUCCCAAAGUCAUGGUUAAGUGGGAAACGAUGUGGGAAGGCCCAGACAGCCAGGAUGUUGGCUUAGAAGCAGCCAUCAUUUAAAGAAAGCGUAAUAGCUCACUGGUCGAGUCGGCCUGCGCGGAAGAUGUAACGGGGCUAAACCAUGCACCGAAGCUGCGGCAGCGAACGUAUCACUUAAAGCGAUUCAGCGGGUUACGACUGACGGAGCGAAGCGACGUCAAAGCGUAUACAAAGUCGAGUCGGUUUAAGGAUACGUUCGUUGGGUAGGGGAGCGUUCUGUAAGCCUGUGAAGGUGGCCUGUGAGGGUUGCUGGAGGUAUCAGAAGUGCGAAUGCUGACAUAAGUAACGAUAAAGCGGGUGAAAAGCCCGCUCGCCGGAAGACCAAGGGUUCCUGUCCAACGUUAAUCGGGGCAGGGUGAGUCGACCCCUAAGGCGAGGCCGAAAGGCGUAGUCGAUGGGAAACGGGUUAAUAUUCCCGUACUUGGUGUUACUGCGAAGGGGGGACGGAGAAGGCUAUGUUGGCCGGGCGACGGUUGUCCCGGUUUAAGCGUGUAGGUGUGUGUUCCAGGUAAAUCCGGUUCACUUUAACACUGAGGCGUGAUGACGAGGCACUACGGUGCUGAAGCAACAAAUGCCCUGCUUCCAGGAAAAGCCUCUAAGCAUCAGGUAACAUCAAAUCGUACCCCAAACCGACACAGGUGGUCAGGUAGAGAAUACCAAGGCGCUUGAGAGAACUCGGGUGAAGGAACUAGGCAAAAUGGUGCCGUAACUUCGGGAGAAGGCACGCUGACACGUAGGUGAAGUGAUUUACUCACGGAGCUGAAGUCAGUCGAAGAUACCAGCUGGCUGCAACUGUUUAUUAAAAACACAGCACUGUGCAAACACGAAAGUGGACGUAUACGGUGUGACGCCUGCCCGGUGCCGGAAGGUUAAUUGAUGGGGUCAGCGCAAGCGAAGCUCCUGAUCGAAGCCCCGGUAAACGGCGGCCGUAACUAUAACGGUCCUAAGGUAGCGAAAUUCCUUGUCGGGUAAGUUCCGACCUGCACGAAUGGCGUAAUGAUGGCCAGGCUGUCUCCACCCGAGACUCAGUGAAAUUGAACUCGCUGUGAAGAUGCAGUGUACCCGCGGCAAGACGGAAAGACCCCGUGAACCUUUACUAUAGCUUGACACUGAACAUUGAGCCUUGAUGUGUAGGAUAGGUGGGAGGCUUUGAAGUGUGGACGCCAGUCUGCAUGGAGCCGACCUUGAAAUACCACCCUUUAAUGUUUGAUGUUCUAACGUGGACCCGUAAUCCGGGUUGCGGACAGUGUCUGGUGGGUAGUUUGACUGGGGCGGUCUCCUCCUAAAGAGUAACGGAGGAGCACGAAGGUUGGCUAAUCCUGGUCGGACAUCAGGAGGUUAGUGCAAUGGCAUAAGCCAGCUUGACUGCGAGCGUGACGGCGCGAGCAGGUGCGAAAGCAGGUCAUAGUGAUCCGGUGGUUCUGAAUGGAAGGGCCAUCGCUCAACGGAUAAAAGGUACUCCGGGGAUAACAGGCUGAUACCGCCCAAGAGUUCAUAUCGACGGCGGUGUUUGGCACCUCGAUGUCGGCUCAUCACAUCCUGGGGCUGAAGUAGGUCCCAAGGGUAUGGCUGUUCGCCAUUUAAAGUGGUACGCGAGCUGGGUUUAGAACGUCGUGAGACAGUUCGGUCCCUAUCUGCCGUGGGCGCUGGAGAACUGAGGGGGGCUGCUCCUAGUACGAGAGGACCGGAGUGGACGCAUCACUGGUGUUCGGGUUGUCAUGCCAAUGGCACUGCCCGGUAGCUAAAUGCGGAAGAGAUAAGUGCUGAAAGCAUCUAAGCACGAAACUUGCCCCGAGAUGAGUUCU
rnacentral:rRNA from 1 species